UAAUCUGCCCACUGGAUAAAUAAUUUAAUGGCCGCAGUAUUUUAACUGUGCAAAGGUAGCAUAAUAAUUAGUCUUUUAAUUGAAGGCUUGUAUGAAUGAUUGGACGAGAUAUAAACUGUCUCAUAAAAAUUUUUUUAGAACUUAAUUUUUUAGUAAAAAAGCUAAAAUAAAUUUAAAAGACGAGAAGACCCCAUAGAUCUUUAUAUUUUUUUUUAUUAUUAUUUUUUAGUUUUUUUAUAAAUUAAUAAAUAAAAAUAUUUUGUUGGGGUGACAUUGAAAUUUAAUAAACUUUCAAAAUUUUAUAACAUUAAUUUAUGAAUUUAUGAUCCUUUAUUAUUGAUUAAAAAUUUAAGUUACCUUGGGGAUAACAGCGUAAUUAUUUUGGAGAGUUCAUAUCGAUAAAAUAGAUUGCGACCUCGAUGUUGGAUUAAGAUUAAUUUUAGAUGUAGCAGUUUAAAGUAUUAAGUCUGUUCGACUUUUAAUUUCUUACAUGAUCUG
rnacentral:rRNA from 1 species